CCCCUCGAUGUUCUGGGCCGCACGCGCGCUACACUGAACAGUUCAACAAGUCUUAACCUUGGCCGAUAGGUCUGGGUAAUCUUUGAACGCUGUUCGUGAUUGGGAUAGACCUUUGCAAUUAUGGGUCUUCAACGAGGAAUUCCUAGUAAACGCAAGUCAUCAGCUUGCAUUGAUUACGUCCCUGCCCUUUGUACACACCGCCCGUCGCACCUACCGAUUGAAUGGUCCGGUGAAAUCUCGGGACGGCGGCUUGGUCGCUUGCGUCCGACUGCUGAAACUUGAUUAAACCAUAUCAUUUAGAGGAAGGUGAANUCGUAACA
rnacentral:rRNA from 1 species